rnacentral:rRNA from 1 species
GACGAACCGUCCUAACGUUGUUCGGAAUCACUGGGCUUAAAGGGCGCGUAGGCGGGCACGCAAGUCCGGGGUGAAAUCUUUCGGCUUAACCGGAAAAUAGCCUUGGAAACUGUGUGUCUCGAGGGAGGUAGGGGCGGCCGGAACUUCCGGUGGAGCGGUGAAAUGCGUUGAUAUCGGAAGGAACGCCGGUGGCGAAAGCGGGCCGCUGGACCUCUACUGACGCUGAGGCGCGAAAGCCAGGGGAGCAAACGGG